rnacentral:rRNA from 1 species
AUUGAACGCUGGCGGCAGGCUUAACACAUGCAAGUCGAGCGGAGAGAGGUAGCUUGCUACCGAUCUUAGCGGCGGACGGGUGAGUAAUGCUUAGGAAUCUGCCUAUUAGUGGGGGACAACAUUUCGAAAGGAAUGCUAAUACCGCAUACGUCCUACGGGAGAAAGCAGGGGAUCUUCGGACCUUGCGCUAAUAGAUGAGCCUAAGUCGGAUUGGCUAGUUGGUGGGGUAAAGGCCUACCAAGGCGACGAUCUGUAGCGGGUCUGAGAGGAUGAUCCGGCAAACUGGGACGGAAACACGACCCAGACUCCUGCGGGAGGCAGCAGUGGGGAAUAUUGGACAAUGGGCGGAAGCCUGAUCCAGCCAUGACGCGUGUGUGAAGAAGGCCUUAUGGUUGUAAAGCACUUUAAGCGAGGAGGAGGCUACUUUAGUUAAUACCUAGAGAUAGUGGACGUUACUCGCAGAAUAAGCACCGGCUAACUCUGUGCCAGCCGCCGCCGUAACAC